rnacentral:misc_RNA from 1 species
GUUGUGUCACCUACCAACACUCAAUCUUUUCAUGGGGUUGUUGUAUUGGGGGUGGAGAUUGGUUUCCCGUUUCUUUGAUGCGGUUGGCUAAAAUAGGAAUUCCAUUUCAAAUGAACACGCGAUUAGUGGUGGUUGUGAAACCCUCUAUUGAGUUGUGAGUUCAUAGGGAAAGAAUAACCCUAAAAUAACCUGAUAUGCUUUUUGUAUGAGGCUUUGACU